GGAGGAGAUGCAGGCAGUAAGGUAGCAGCCAGUUAACAGUAAAGGGGUGAAGACUAAUGGAAGAGGACCUAUGGUGAUCUUUUAGGCAGGAUGGAAUGGAAUGGCACUGCUUAUGUAAGGAAAAUGGUCCCCCCUCAAGUGAGGGCAGAAGACAUCUGGGCUAGGGGGUCCACUGCCACUCCAGUUAAAGGCAAAUCCGAGAGGGGACUUCUCUGCCUCCUCUUCCGUGUAUUUCUCCCCAGGUUUCUGUGGUCACUGAAGUCUCCUUCUGUCUGUCUGAGCCACGCUUGUCUUUUUUGCAGUCCCCUCUGCCAAUGGUCUCGGUUCUUUUGAGUAAGAACUAUCUCAAACGGAUGAAAAGAUGUGAAAAAGCUGCUGGGUAAAUGGAGUAGUGAGUUAAUUUAGGGAAGUACAAGGUGGGAGUGGACAGACUGCAGAGCCUGGAGUUGGGAGGACUCACCUCCCUGAGCUCCAAUCCAGCCCAGGUUACCUCAGUUUCUCCUUCUGUAAAACGAGCCGGAGGAGGAAGUGCCAACCACUAUCCCCGCCAAGAAAACCCCAAAGAAUCAGUGAACGCCUAAGAUUACUACAUGAAGCUAGGAUUGUUUCAUUGUUGCCCAGCGAGGUAACAAACGAUUCUUUUCCUGACUUUAUCCAGUUUCUGUCUCAGCGCAUGCGUGCGAGUAGAACGGGAUCUCCCAGAGAGCAGAGGCGGGGCUUUAGCGCUUCCUAUACUCCCAGAGCAGGAGGCGCCUAAUGAAUGCUUAUAGGGCCACAGCCCCUUCCCUUCCGCUUCCCGCCCACGCGCCUCCCUCAGCGUGCUCGCCCAGCGGGCUCCCCCUGCCCCCUCUCCGUGUUCCCAAUUCACCACCGGCCUCCCAGACGGAGGCUAAGCAACUCUCCCGAGAUCUGCCCGCAAGCAUCUAUUAAGCGCCCACUGUAUGCGAGGCCGUGACCCGAGCGCUGGCGACGCAAUCAGCCCCUCCCCAAGGGACUCAUACUCCUAACGCGGGGGGAGAAGGGGUCGGCCCGUAAAUAGCCACAAACAAAACACGGACCGACCCAAAGGCGGGGAGCACCGGGCAAUCUCCCCCAGGGCGCGGGGCUCAGCACACAGCCGGUGCUUAAUCAGUGCUCGCUCCACACGCGGAGUAAACCUAGCCCCGCCCCCGCUGACAGAAGGGGAAGGGGGGGCCCAGGGAAGCGGCGUUGCUAGGAGAGGGAGAGCGGAGGCGCAGGCAGGACUCCCGUAGGAGGCGCCCCGGAACAACUAGACCGCUAGCGGACGGAAGCCGGAAACUAGCGCGCGAAGGCAACAGAAGCCGGAGGGCAGGAAGCGGCACCGAGGGCGCAUGCGUGAGCGCCGGAAGUUGUGAGGAAGCGAUAGGGCGCCAUUUCCGGCAGGAAAGGCGGUUCAGGGGGGGAACGA
rnacentral:lncRNA from 1 species